ensembl:lncRNA
CUCUAGGGUAUAAUUUUAAUCCAGUUAAUCUCUCUAGGGUAUCAUUUUAAUCCAGACAGUCUCUCUAGGUUAUCAUUUUAAUCCAGGGUGUUGAUAUUUUUGUAGUCUUCCUGACUGGGAUUCCAAUCCUUAUAUGCUAAUGCUAACUACUACAAGUCAAAACAUUGGACAUAUCGGACUAUCAUUCAUCUACAACAGUUUCAGAAUUGUUACAGUGUGUGUGUGUGUGUGUGUGUGUGUGUGUGUGUGUGUGUGCAUUGUGUUGUGGUUUAUAUGAUUGUCUACACUGAGGCUGAGCCUUGUGGUUAAACUGUCAACGUCGAAUAAAGUUGUUCUUUUUUUCUUUUCUUUUCUAGCAAAGCUCCUUUGCAGUUAUUCAUAUAAAAAUGAAAAAAAAAAAAUAAACUCCUUG